rnacentral:rRNA from 1 species
AUUGGGCUUGGGGGAACCCUGACCGCGAUGCCGCGUGUGUGAAGAAGGCCUGCGGGUUGUAAAGCACUUUCAGUGGGGAGGAGGUUUUGGAGGUUAAGAGCUACCAAGGUGGACGUUACCCACAGAAGAAGCACCGGCUAACUCCGUGCCAGCAGCCGCGGUAAUACGGAGGGUGCAAGCGUUAAUCGGAAUUACUGGGCGUAAAGGGUGUGUAGACGGUUUGAUAAGUUAAGUGUGAAAGACCUGGGCUUAACCUGGGGGUGUCACUUAAGACUGUUGGACUAGAGUAUGGGAGAGGGUAGUGGAAUUUCCGGUGUAGCGGUGAAAUGCGUAGAGAUCGGAAGGAACACCAGUGGCGAAGGCGGCUACCUGGCCCAAUACUGACGUUGAGGCACGAAAG